rnacentral:sRNA from 1 species
UAAGAAAACAAUGCCAUUUUAUGUUAGCUUUGGGAAGGGGGAGUAAGGUUGGAGAAACCUUUUUGAGAUCAUGAGUUUCUGUGCUCAUUUGUCAGAGAGAUUGUAAUGUUUGGUUGAAAAAAUAAAAACUUAGUACCACAGAUACACCAAUAGUGAAAGUGAUAUGCACCUGUUUGUGAUGAGACUGCAAUUGCUAACAUUUCUAUUUAAACAAAUUAUUAGCUCUUAUUAGUAAGCUCUGAAAAUGCAAUUCAUUAAUUUAAAUCUAUGUGGGCAGGAGGAAUAUGGGCACUCACUGUACUUUCCACUUGAUUUUGCUGUGAACCUAAAACUGCUCUAAAAAAUAGCCUAUUUUAAAAAAUAUAAAUCUGUGGUCACUAAACCUUAAGAUGAGCAUUGUUUUGUGUUUUCAUUUCAGGGAAGAAGUGAAUGAAAAACUUCGAGAUACAGCAGACGGGACCUUUUUGGUACGAGAUGCGUCUACUAAAAUGCAUGGUGAUUAUACUCUUACACUAAGGAAAGGGGGAAAUAACAAAUUAAUCAAAAUAUUUCAUCGAGAUGGGAAAUAUGGCUUCUCUGACCCAUUAACCUUCAAUUCUGUGGUUGAAUUAAUAAACCACUACCGGAAUGAAUCUCUAGCUCAGUAUAAUCCCAAAUUGGAUGUGAAAUUACUUUAUCCAGUAUCCAAAUACCAACAGGAUCAAGUUGUCAAAGAAGAUAAUAUUGAAGCUGUAGGGAAAAAAUUACAUGAAUAUAACACUCAGUUUCAAGAAAAAAGUCGAGAAUAUGAUAGAUUAUAUGAAGAAUAUACCCGCACAUCCCAGGAAAUCCAAAUGAAAAGGACAGCUAUUGAAGCAUUUAAUGAAACCAUAAAAAUAUUUGAAGAACAGUGCCAGACCCAAGAGCGGUACAGCAAAGAAUACAUAGAAAAGUUUAAACGUGAAGGCAAUGAGAAAGAAAUACAAAGGAUUAUGCAUAAUUAUGAUAAGUUGAAGUCUCGAAUCAGUGAAAUUAUUGACAGUAGAAGAAGAUUGGAAGAAGACUUGAAGAAGCAGGCAGCUGAGUAUCGAGAAAUUGACAAACGUAUGAACAGCAUUAAACCAGACCUUAUCCAGCUGAGAAAGACGAGAGACCAAUACUUGAUGUGGUUGACUCAAAAAGGUGUUCGGCAAAAGAAGUUGAACGAGUGGUUGGGCAAUGAAAACACUGAAGAGUAAGUAGUUACUAAAGAUGGUGAUAGCAGAAGAUUUUUCUCAUUUUAGGAAAAUGCAUGACUUGCUUUGUUUUUAGAACAAGUGAGGAAUUUUACUGAGUUUGGAACAUCUUGUAGGAGAAAAUGUAUAAACUCAGUGCCAUUAUCCAGAAUUUUAAAAAAAGAAAGCUUAGCUAAGGAGGACUAGGAUUUAUUUUUACUCAUAAUGCUGUGAAACAACUCUCUGUGUCCAUAAUGAUGUCCCUGAACAUCUGA